AUUGAACGCUGGCGGCAUGCUUUACGCAUGCAAGUCGAACGGUAACACGCCUUCGGGUUCUGACGAGUGGCGAACGGGGGAGUAAGGCAUCUGAACGUGCCGAGAGGUGCGGGAUACCGCAGCAAAACCUGUGCAAAUAGCGCCUAAUAUCUGAUGAUGAAAGCGGGGGACCUGGCAGCAAUGUUUGGCCUCGCGCCUUUGGAUGGGCCGAUGUCGGAUUAGGUAGUUGGUGGGGUAAAGUCCUACCAAGGCGACGAUCUGUAGCUGGUCUGAGAGGACGACCAGCAACACUGGGACUGAGACACGGCCCAGACUCCUACGGGAGGCAGCAGUGGGGAAUUUUGGACAAUGGGAGCAAGCCUGAUCCAGCAAUGCCGCGUGGGGGAAGAAGGCCUUCGGGUUGUAAAGCGCUUUUGUUCGGAAAGAAAAGGAUCUGGAUAAUACCUGGGUGUGAUGACGGUACCGUAAGAAUAAGCACCGGCUAACUACGUG
rnacentral:rRNA from 1 species